rnacentral:rRNA from 1 species
UGAGGAAUAUUGGUCAAUGGGGGCAACCCUGAACCAGCCAAGUCGCGUGAAGGAUGAAGGUCUUAUGGAUUGUAAACUUCUUUUAUACAGGAAUAAAUUGGGGGACGUGUCCCCUUUUGCAUGUACUGUAUGAAUAAGGAUCGGCUAACUCCGUGCCAGCAGCCGCGGUAAUACGGAGGAUCCGAGCGUUAUCCGGAUUUAUUGGGUUUAAAGGGUGCGCAGGCGGGAUGUUAGGUCGGCGGUGAAAUUUUGCAGCUCAACUGUAAAAGUGCCUUCGAUACUGGCCUCCUUGAGUGUGGAUGAAGUAGGCGGAAUUUGCGGUGUAGCGGUGAAAUGCUUAGAUAUCACGAGGAACUCCGAUUGCGCAGGCAGCUUACUAAGCCACAACUGACGCUCAUGCACGAAGGCGUGGGG